UACGUAGGGUCCAAGCGUUAUCCGGAAUUACUGGGCUUAAAGAGUUCGUAGGCGGCAUGACAAGUCGGGUGUGAAAGCCCUCGGCUCAACCGAGGAAUUGCGCUCUAAACUGUCGUGCUAGAGGAACCUAGAGGUGAGCAGAACUGAUGGUGGAGCGGUGAAAUGCGUUGAUAUCAUCAGGAAUACCGGAGGCGAAGGCGGCUCACUGGGAGUUUUCUGACGCUGAGGAACGAAAGCCAGGGGAGCAAACGGG
rnacentral:rRNA from 1 species